CUUGCAAAACUGGUGCAAAGAACUGAGAAAUGCAAACCUAGGAAUGAUUGACAGUGGCAUGUGACCAAAGGUUGCAUGGGAGCCGAAGCCUGAGGGUUCUCGGUGAAGAUUCCAUCUUUGCCAACUGACUUUUCUUCUGGUCUCCUGAGGAAGUUGAGAGGAAGGAUGAAGAGGAUUUCCCUGUGUUCAAACUGAGUCCUGUAUCUGGCUGCUGGCAGUAUCAGUCUUACUUGGACAUCAGGACUUUCUUGGACAUCUAAUAACAACAAAUCCUGGCUCUAACUGUUUUUGGACUCAUGCUCAUUCUUCCUACUAUGGACUGUGACCUAUGCUAUGCUAGACAGCUUAGGAGCAGGUGGUAAGGACAGUCUCACUAUAAAUUCCAGAAGAGGCUUAGCCGAUGAAGUGAUGUGACGGGUGCUACCAGUGGCUGCUGAGCCUCCUCCUCAGGAAGAAUGAGUAACCCUGUGCCAUUUCAAUCACAGGGCUCUUACGCUGAUAACAUGCCACCCUACAGAAGGGGGUUUCUUAGGUCGGCAUCUCCGUAGGGAGAGCCUGACAGCUGUCGAUUGCUGAAAGAAAAUAGCGUGUUUCUGCUUGUUGAGCUCCAUUCUGCUCUCCUUCUGUUGAUGUUUUUAAUUAUUAAAGAAAAAGUGGCAUAUCACCUAAUUGAAAAUGAGUGAUUCCUAGCUUAAAUAUCAGAGAUCAAAGAACAGUGCAAAGAAAUAAAACCUGAAAAAAUCAAGCAAAAAUAAAUGAAAACUGGGGGGAAAUGUGCUCAUGUACUACCGUCAUUCCCUGAGAAAUUAUCAAAGAGAAAUAGAGGUGAUGCAUCUAUUGCUUAUCAAAGGAUAGGAAGUAAUGUUCAGAUUUGGCUUACCCCCAUGUCCCUCAUUCAUUAGCAUGCUCAUUUCAAGCACACACAGCUCUACCAACAGUAUUGGUGAUUGCUGCAAUCACACAGUUACCAAAUUAUGCUUUUGCUGAUUUAUUGUUCUUAUUCAGUCAUUUCAAUCACGCCUUACUCUUCAUGACCUUGGAGCAGUGUGCCGUUUCCUACUCCAGCUCAUUUUUCAGAAGAGGAAACCAAGGCAAACAAGGUUAAGUCCCUGAUCACACUGCUCAGGAGUGUCUGAAGUCAAAUUUUAAUUUGUAUCUUCCUGCAUUGAGGAUUAGUGCUCUGUCCACUGUGUCACUUUGUUGUCCACUUUUGCUGAUAAAUAAAACUUCCUUUUUUCCUCUUUCUGAAUAUUCACUAGUUCACUUUAUAUUAGGACAUUUCUUACCUAUUAUGUUAGGGUA